GGCAAGAUGGCCGAGCGGUCUAAGGCGCCAGCUUCAGGUUUCCCAAUCUGCUGGUCUUGAAAAAGGCGUGGGUUCGAAUCCCACUCUUGUCA